rnacentral:rRNA from 1 species
ACGUAGGCAACCUGCCCAUCAGACCGGGAUAACCACGGGAAACCGUGGCUAAUACCGGAUAAUCCUCUUCCACACAGGUGGGAAAGUUGAAAGGCGGCUUCGGCUGUCACUGAUGGAUGGGCCUGCGGCGCAUUAGCUGGUUGGUGGGGUAACGGCCCACCAAGGCGACGAUGCGUAGCCGACCUGAGAGGGUGAUCGGCCACACUGGGACUGAGACACGGCCCAGACUCCUACGGGAGGCAGCAGUAGGGAAUCUUCCGCAAUGGACGAAAGUCUGACGGAGCAACGCCGCGUGAGUGAAGAAGGGUUUCGGCUCGUAAAACUCUGUUGUCAGGGAAGAACGCCGACGGGAGUAACUGCCCGUCGGGUGACGGUA